rnacentral:pre_miRNA from 1 species
UUAUUACCAGCUCAUAUUAGUAUGGAACGUUUGCUUGCGUUUGCCGCUAGGGGCGCUGUUCCAACUGCAUACAAAUUUGAGUUA